AUUGAACGCUGGCGGCAGGCCUAACACAUGCAAGUCGAGCGGAGCGGCGGACGGGUGAGUAAUGCCUAGGAAUCUGCCUGGUAGUGGGGGAUAACGUCCGGAAACGGGCGCUAAUACCGCAUACUAUCAGAUGAGCCUAGGUCGGCUUAGCUAGUUGGGGGGGUAAAGGCCUACCAAGGCGACGAUCCGUAACUGGUCUGCGAGGAUGAUCAGUCACCCGGGAAGUGAAAAACUGUCCAGACUCCUAAGGGAGGCAUCAGUGGGGAUUAUUGGACAAUGGGCGAAAUCCUUAUCCAUCCAUGCCGCGUGUGUGAAGAAGGUCUUCGGAUUGUAAAGCACGUUAAGUUGGGAGGCGUUACCAACAGAAUAAGCACCGGCUAACUUCGUGCCAGCAGCCGCGGUAAUUG
rnacentral:rRNA from 1 species